GUGCCAGCAGCCGCGGUAAUACGGAGGAUGCGAGCGUUAUCCGGAUUUAUUGGGUUUAAAGGGUGCGUAGGCGGACAAAUAAGUCAGUGGUGAAAACCUGCAGCUUAACUGUAGAAUUGCCAUUGAUACUGUUAGUCUUGAGUAUGGUCAAGGUAGGCGGAAUGUGUAAUGUAGCGGUGAAAUGCUUAGAUAUUACACAGAACACCGAUUGCGAAGGCAGCUUACUGGUCCAUUACUGACGCUGAUGCACGAAAGCGUGGGGAUCGAACAGGAUUAGAAACCCGAGUAGUCC
rnacentral:rRNA from 1 species